rnacentral:rRNA from 1 species
CUUGUACACACCGCCCGUCACACCAUGGGAGCGGGUUCUGCCAGAAGUAGUUAGCCUAACCGCAAGGAGGGCGAUUACCACGGCAGGGUUCGUGACUGGGGUGG